AUUGAACGCUGGCGGCAUGCCUUACACAUGCAAGUCGAACGGUAACGGGCCUUCGGGUGCCGACGAGUGGCGAACGGGUGAGUAAUGCAUCGGAACGUACCUUUCAGUGGGGGAUAACGUAGCGAAAGUUACGCUAAUACCGCAUAUUCUGUGAGCAGGAAAGCAGGGGAUCGCAAGACCUUGCGCUGAUUGAGCGGCCGAUGUCAGAUUAGCUAGUUGGUGAGGUAAAGGCUCACCAAGGCGACGAUCUGUAGCGGGUCUGAGAGGAUGAUCCGCCACACUGGAACUGAGACACGGUCCAGACUCCUACGGGAGGCAGCAGUGGGGAAUUUUGGACAGUGGGGGCAACCCUGAUCCAGCCAUGCCGCGUGAGUAAAGAAGGCCUUCGGGUUGUAAAGCUCUUUCGGCCGGGCAGAAAUCGCACGGGCUAAUACCCUGUGUGGAUGACGGUACCGGAAUAAGAAGCACCGGCUAACUACGUGCCAGCCGCCGCGGUAACAC
rnacentral:rRNA from 1 species